rnacentral:rRNA from 1 species
AACGAACGCUGGCGGCAUGCCUAACACAUGCAAGUCGAACGAGACCUUCGGGUCUAGUGGCGCACGGGUGCGUAACGCGUGGGAAUCUGCCCUUUGCUUCGGAAUAACAGUUAGAAAUGACUGCUAAUACCGGAUGAUGUCGAAAGACCAAAGAUUUAUCGGCAAAGGAUGAGCCCGCGUAGGAUUAGGUAGUUGGUGGGGUAAAAGCCUACCAAGCCGACGAUCCUUAGCUGGUCUGAGAGGAUGAUCAGCCACACUGGGACUGAGACACGGCCCAGACUCCUACGGGAGGCAGCAGUGGGGAGUAUUGGACAAUGGGCGAAAGCCUGAUCCAGCAAUGCCGCGUGAGUGAUGAAGGCCUUAGGGUUGUAAAGCUCUUUUACCAGGGAUGAUAAUGACAGUACCUGGAGAAUAAGCUCCGGCUAACUCCGUGCCAGCAGCCGCAGUAAAAC